UACAGAGGUCUCAAGCGUUGUUCGGAUUCAUUGGGCGUAAAGGGUGCGUAGGCGGUUGGGUAAGUCAGAGGUGAAAUUCCGGGGCUCAACCUCGGAACUGCCUUUGAUACUGCCUGACUAGAGUACUGGAGAGGAGACUGGAAUUCACGGUGUAGCAGUGAAAUGCGUAGAUAUCGUGAGGAAGACCAGUGGCGAAGGCGAGUCUCUGGACAGUUACUGACGCUGAGGCACGAAGGCUAGGGGAGCAAACGGG
rnacentral:rRNA from 1 species